AACGAACUAGAGAAAAUCCUUAUAAUUGGUUUUGCAUUCAGAAGAGAGCCCAAUCCAAGAGCACACUGAAUAAAUAACAUUUUCAGUUGUUUUGUCUGCUGCUGGCACAAGCGUGAACUGGCUCAGCCAAGCUAGCGAGUAAAUUGACAGCAUGUCUAAUAACUGGAACGCAUCUUCCCUGCGGCCCAGCAACACCACUUGUAGGGGUCUACUCUACAGAAGCAUGUUCAAGGAUGUCCACUGCAGAAUCAUUUGUGAUGGUGAAAAACUGGAAACAAAUGUCUAUUAGUAGAAAUAUGCACCCAAAGGAGCAUUUUUCCAGCCAAUUAUCCUGUGCCCUUCCGAUCUCAUGACUUAGAGUAAUUGACGCCAUCUCCCUCAUCUGGAUACGUGGAAAAAUGACUAUUUGACGUUGGCUGCAUCCCACCUACUCACCAGAUUCUCUUUCCUCCUUCCAUUCCCUGGGGCUGCAGGUCUCAUCUCCGUCCAGGGGUAUUUCCUGCCAAGUGCCUGGUUGCCUCUUUGCCUGGAGGAAGGCCCCAGGGCCUAGUUUACUUUCUCUCUUCUUUCUUUACCUUUUCCAAAGUUUCCUUGUGAAAUCCUACUCCUUGGGCACCCCCACAUUCCUUUCUUUCUUAUGAUACCACUAGAGCUGGCCCAUGGGAACAGUGAUUCUCAAACUUGAAUGUGCAUCAGAAUCACCUGGAAAGCUUAUUGAAACACAGAUUGUGGGGUUCCACCUUCAGGGCUCUGGUUCAGUAGGUCUGGGUAGGGUCCAGUGGUGUGCUGGAAACUGUUUAACAAUGGGCUUUCAGAAAGAAAAAUGAGCACUGAUUUGUAAUGUUCCACAGUGUAAACACUCUCACCGUGGUUGAUUUCAAGCCCCCAGUGUGAUGGUCACUAAAUGUGGAGUUAGGAAAGAGACAUGUGCAAUUGGUUCUCCUGAGAUGUUACAAACUGUCUCCAGCCACCCUUGGCACUGGGAUCUAAGAAUUUGCAUUUCUGUUUUUUUUUUUUUUGUUUUUGUUUUUGAGAUGGAGUCUUGCUCUGUCGUCCUGGCUGGAGUGCAGUGGUGCAACCUCAGCUCACUGCAACCUCCGCUUCCUGGGUUGAAGCGAUUCUCCUGCCUCAGCCUCCUGAGUAGCUGGGACUCCAGGUAUGCGCCAUCAUGCCCAG
rnacentral:lncRNA from 1 species